ensembl:snRNA U6 U6 spliceosomal RNA
GUGCUCACAUCAGCAGCACAUAUACUAAAAUUGGAACAAGACAGAAAAGAUUAGCAUGGCCCCUUCUCAAGGUUGACACUCAAAUUCGUGAAGCCCGUUCCAUAUUUUU